rnacentral:rRNA from 1 species
CGUAGGAACGUACCCCAAACUGAGGGAUAACUGCUCGAAAGNGUAGCUAAUACCGCAUGUGCUCUAAGGAGUAAAAGCUUCGGCGGUUUGGGAACGGCCUGCGUACGAUUAGAUUGUUGGUGAGGUAAUGGCUCACCAAGUCGAUGAUCGUUAGCUGGUCUGAGAGGAUGAUCAGCCAGACUGGGACUGAGAACGGCCCAGACUCCUACGGGAGGCAGCAGUAGGGAAUUUUCCACAAUGGACGAAAGUCUGAUGGAGCAACGCCGCGUGCAGGAUGAAUGCCUUCGGGUUGUAAACUGCUUUUAUAUGUGACGAGUAUGACGGUAGCAUAUGAAUAAGGAUCGGCUAACUCCGUG